AUUGAACGCUGGCGGCAUGCCUUACACAUGCAAGUCGAACGGCAGCACGGGAGCUUGCUCCUGGUGGCGAGUGGCGAACGGGUGAGUAAUACAUCGGAACGUACCCUGAAGUGGGGGAUAACGUAGCGAAAGUUACGCUAAUACCGCAUAUUCUGUGAGCAGGAAAGAGGGGGAUCGCAAGACCUCUUGCUUUAGGAGCGGCCGAUGUCGGAUUAGCUAGUUGGUGAGGUAAAGGCUCACCAAGGCGACGAUCCGUAGCGGGUCUGAGAGGAUGAUCCGCCACACUGGGACUGAGACACGGCCCAGACUCCUACGGGAGGCAGCAGUGGGGAAUUUUGGACAAUGGGCGCAAGCCUGAUCCAGCCAUGCCGCGUGAGUGAAGAAGGCCUUCGGUGUAAAGCUCUUCGUGGGA
rnacentral:rRNA from 1 species